GUAUCGGCACCAGCGUUGACAGAGAUUUGCUCUUAGAUGUUAUCAGGUGUAUGGGGACCAAGGAUGUUUUCCCACCAGAGAAUGAUUAACUUUCUUGUCUCCCCCUUGGAGUAGGAACAUAGCUUCUUUAGUUUACUCAGAUGCAAGGUGAAAUACAGAGCAUGAGGAAAUGGGACCGGCGGAGACACAGCCAAGAUGGAGCGUUUCCAAAAUGGACUCCCUUCAGUUCCCCUACGUCAAUGCCUUGAAGGAUUACAAAAUGAUACAUGAAGAAAAAAACAUGAAAGCAUCCAGACAGUAAGAAACAGAAGUUCAGAGAAAGGACUAAGGCCAUUAGGAAAAGGUAAAAAAACCGUUCAGGUGUCACAGAAUGAACACAAACCUGAGAGUUUUCUGCUCUGGGUGCCCCUUCCAAUAGCUGUGACAAUGGACUUCUUUGGACCUCAGUUUCCUCAACUACAAAUCAAAGACAUGGACAGACGGUCAGCCAACCUUUGAUGAGGCAAGUAAAGAGGCAAAAUGUUGGGAUUCCGGCAUGCCAACAAAUGGACCCUAUCACUGGAAUAAGAGAAAUUUCAGGUUUGUUCAUGCUGCUUUGUUUCCUUCUGUGCAUGAUGUUUUAACUGAGUUGCAGACAUUACUGAAGAAAAAUUGGAAAAAAAAAUUGUCGGGCCCUAAAUGAUGUUGCAUUUCACAUUAGAGGCCAGAGAUUUUGGCAACACUGAAAUCAGUUUAAUAUACACAACUAUUGAGAAUGCUAAGUUGGAUGUUAGUCUUUGAACUAUGUUUAUUCCUAUUAUUCCUAUAAUUGUUGGACAAAUCAUUCCCAGCCAAAUUGCUAGGAGUUGUAACAAGAUUUCAACUCAUGCCCCGGUAUGCAUGAACUUUGGUUCCUCUUGUCCCAUGGAUAUUCAGAUGAAUCCUUUUUUAUCUGGCAUUUCUUCAUCUCUACUGAUAUUUUGCUGUUGUUUUACAGUCUGUUUUAUCUGAGAUUAGUACAGCCACUCUAGUUUUCUGUGGUUUCUGUUUGUAGACUUUUUUCUAUCAUUUUGCUUUCAACUCAUAUCUUCAAAUCCAGUGUGUCCCCUGAAGACAACACGUAAUAGGCUAUUGUUUAUUUUAACCAUAUUGACCAACUCUGCCUUUUGAUUGGAUUGUUUACUUCAUUCACAUUUAAUGUUCGGAUUUAUGGCUUAUAGUUUUGUUUGUUUUACAUAAAUUGCCUGUCCUCAAUGUUUCUCCAUCAUUAACUGCUUUCUUUUGCAUUAAGUGAAUAUUUUUCAGUAUAACAUUUUCAUUUCUUUAAUAAAUAAGAAGAAAGAAUAAAGAAAGAAGAGGAGAAAGAGGAAGAGGAGAACAACAAGAACAACGAUGAUGAUCACAACUCCAUGUGCUUGGGCUUUAGAUUUAUUUUAUUUUUCAAUUAAUUUUGCUCCAGGUCUGAUUAUCCAAUCCGUUUGAGUGUUUAGGUCUAAAGCAUUCAAUAUUAAUAUAUUUUAUCCUUAAAAUGGCUCAAGUGAAUCAUAUGCCCAAAGUGAUCUGGAGUCAGUUCCUUUGAAAACCCUGCAAUUGUUGAGGGGUGCAUGGGUUGCUCAGUGGGUUGGGCGUCCCACUUCGACUCAGGUCAUGAUCUCACAGUCGUGAGUUCGAGCCCCACGUCGGGCUCUGUGCUGACAGGUCAGAGCCUGGAGGCUGCUUCAGAAUCUGUCUCCCCUCUUUCUCUGCCUCUCUCUCUUUCUCUCUCUCUCUCUCUCUCUGUCUCUCAAAACUGAAUAAACGUUAAAAAAGUAUCGAAACCCUUGGAAUGUUCAAAGCACACAGUUUUGCUGGCUUCAUGUUUUUCUAAGGAAUAAGUCUAAGCAGGCUCAUAGAGGAAUUUUCUGGAGGAGACGCUGAAUGUGUUUCAACUUGGUCAAUCUUCAAAGGCCCAAGAAAGCAGGAAAAUCAAAUAGUUCAUAGUUUGUGCCAAAUAUUUUCUUAAUGACCAGCAAUCCAAGUGGUGAUUGCAUUUGGUUGUUAAGAAACCUCUUUCGGUCUCCCAGAGACAGGCACUGGAUCUGAGGUUAUCACUGCAUUGGCUCAAAUGCUCAGUUAGUAAUGGCUUCAGUCAAAAGAUCAACUUAAAAGAAGCAAGCUCUUAUCCAUUGAAUAUUUCAAGCAAGUAUUGAUUGUGUUGCAUUUUUUCUUAGAUGUUUGCUAUUUUUUAUUUCAACUCACUUUCAAGUGGAAAUACUGUCAAAAUUCCAUAAUUCAUAGUUAAACUAAAGCUUGUUUGAAGCCCUUAUAAAACGGAUCACAGCCUUGAUUUAAAAAUCAAAUAAAUAUAUUUAGAGAAAAUAAAUAAAUAUAGCUAGAGAAAAUAUAUUAAAGGAAAUAUAGAAAAAAUCCUUAGACAUACACAGUAGUCAGAUCUUGUAGGUCUCAUAUUCCUCAGUUACUUUGCAGUUAUAAUCUGAAUAGAAUACUAAGGAUUAGAAAGUAAAAAAGAAAAUUGGCAAAAACAAACUGAUCUUUGCUUGGCUUAAUAUUAUUACAUACCUCAGAAUCUUAAAAAUCACUCUUAUAAUGAAUCAGCCAUAAGGUUGGCCUUAAUUAAUUCAGUCUCCUGUGCAAGAUCAUAAAUGAAACAUAAUUCAUUGUAAUUUUCAUUUACCCUCCUCUACCCUUUAAAAAAUAAGAAACUUCUAUUUUAA